CAUAUCUUUUUUUUACAGCUCUAACGUUACAGUUUGCUCCACUUUGCUCUGUGGUUUAUAUGUUUUCUUCUUACCAUUGCUUGUAAGCUGGAUUGAGUAAGAUGGAUCAUCUUUAAAGGAACCAGGAGUUAAGGCAGAUGUGGAGGCACACGGGUGACACCAGACACACACCAAGCACAUUGUUCGGACAUUCAAUCAUGACAUGAUCCAUGUGGAUGCUGUCCAUUGAGGAAAGAGUUUGUUCAGAGGUUUCUGGACAGAAUUAAUCCCAAAGAUGGGAAAAAGUGCACAUCCACACAAGGAGCAAGCAAAAAGACAAGGAACUUGGUGCAGAGAAAAGCUGUGGCCAUUAACCCCCAUGUGAACAGCUUCAUGCAGUCCCUGAUAGAGUUUGAAUGGGCGACUUCAAACUAAAGGCCAGUGUCAGUCUGCCACAGUUUAAUGCAUUUAUUUUUAGUGUUCAAUAAAAUUCAAAUAGAAUAUUUAAAACUAUGGGCCAGUGUUCUUUUUACCACAGUUAAAUGUUACCUUU